rnacentral:rRNA from 1 species
CAAGCGGUGGAGCAUGUGGUUUAAUUCGAUGCAACGCGAAGAACCUUACCUGGUCUUGACAUCCACAGAAUCUUGCAGAGAUGCGAGAGUGCCUUCGGGAACUGUGAGACAGGUGCUGCAUGGCUGUCGUCAGCUCGUGUUGUGAAAUGUUGGGUUAAGUCCCGCAACGAGCGCAACCCUUAUCCUUUGUUGCCAGCGGUCAGGCCGGGAACUCAAAGGAGACUGCCAUUGAUAAAGUGGAGGAAGGCAGGGACGACGUCAAGUCAUCAUGGCCCUUACGACCAGGGCUACACACGUGCUACAAUGGCGUAUACAAAGAGAAGCGAGCCAGCGAUGGUGAGCGGACCUCAUAAAGUACGUCUAAGUCCGGAUUGGAGUCUGCAACUCGACUCCAUGAAGUCGGAAUCGCUAGUAAUCGUAGAUCAGAAUGCUACGGUGAAUACGUUCCCGGGCCUUGUACACACC